rnacentral:rRNA from 1 species
GACGAACGCUGGCGGCGUGCCUAAUACAUGCAAGUCGAACGCAGUGGGGACGGGUGAGUAACACGUGGGUAACCUCCCAUCAGAGGGGAUAACACUUGGAAACAGGUGCUAAACCGAUACUGAUGGAUGGACCCGCGGUGCAUUAGCUAGUUGGUGAGGGAACGGCUCACCAAGGCCACGAUUCAUAGCCGACCUGAGAGUGUGAUCGCCCACACUGGUACGUAUACACGGCCCAGACUCCUACGGGAGGCAGCAGUAGGGAAGCUUCUGCAAUGGACGAAAGUCUGACCGAGCAACGCCGCGUGAGUGAAGAAGGUGUUCGGAUCGUAAAACUCUGUUGUUAGAGAAUCGGUAUCUAACCAGAAAGCCACGGCUAACUACGUGCCAGCAGCCGCGGUAAUUC